UACAAAAGAGAGAGUAGCAAAGGGAAAAAUUAACAGAAGGAAGAUUCAGAAACAAAUGGCAGGUGCUUUGGAAAAGGCUGUGUCCUCAGAGCAUCCUGCAGAUGACAUGGAGAAUCCUGAGAUGAAAGGAAUGCAGUGAUGGCCUAAGACCUCUCUGCUUAUUCUCUUUCCCAUGUACAUGGCCCCAGCACCAGUGAGGUACUCGAAGGCUCUUGUCAUUGAGAAUGAAAUGACAGAGGGGAAGGUGUUAGCAGCUUAAAUAAAGAAUCAGAUGUGGAUCUACAACAAUGAGGAAACCAGAAAAGAGGAUGUGUGCUGGGGCCAAUCAGGAUGGAGCACCUGGAGUCAGGUGUCAUCUGUUUGAAGCCUGGCAACUUCCUUAGCUUACCUAGUGGGGUGGUAGGAGCUAGAAAGCCCAUGUUGUGGUCACCCAGACAGAUAACCCCAGGGCUUCAGGAGUCUGGGACUUUGGAAGUUGAAGACAGUAGAAGACAACAGACGUCCAGACUGGAAGAAAUGGAACUGGAGUAGACACACUUGACACACUUGACAGCCCACUCUGCCUUUGCCCUGCUUGCAACUUGACUUUGAGGUAAGAGAAUUUUGGGAAAUGAGGGUGCAAGUUCCUGCCCAUGAAACAAGGUUUUCUAAUGUAACCCAGGUCUCCUGGUCGACCAGGUUGGGUAAAAUGACGCCCUUCCUUGCAUCGAGUGUUGCAUCGAGGUCCACCACCUGGUGCCCCUCGUUCCUCCAUUAGCAGAAAGUUCACACUUCCCCUGGCCCGGUCAUCCUUUGUCAUCGCAGAGCCCCAGGGGGCUUCCCUGGUGCAUGGAUCCGUCCUAUUCCCUCCUCCCUUAGGGGAAGAACCAGAAGUCUGGUCAUUUCAUCAAAGAGACUCUUUUCUGCUGUUGUUACCACUGCAUGGUGUACCUAGAAGACCAGCAUCCCACCAAGGGCUUGCCCACUUUAAGAAGGAAGCCACAUCUUCAGCAACCUUCAAGCUUCGUAUACCAGUGAUCUGGGGACUGAUGCUCCUCCAUCUGCUCUAGAGCUAUAGCUCCUCCCUCUGCAUUUCCAAACUAGGCCUCUUAAUCACAUCCCUUUGACAGAACUUUCCGUAUAACCUUGCUGUUAUUUUUUUUAUAUGUCUCUGUCUC